rnacentral:rRNA from 1 species
GACGAACGCUGGCGGCGUGCUUAACACAUGCCAGUCGAACGGAAAGGCCCUGCUUGCAGGGUACUCGAGUGGCGAACGGGUGAGUAACACGUGGGUGAUCUGCCCUGCACUUCGGGAUAAGCCUGGGAAACUGGGUCUAAUACCGGCUAGGAGCCAUUUUUAGCGUGAUGGUUGGAAAGUUUUUUCGGUGUAGGAUGAGCUCGCCGCCUAUCGGCUUGUUGGUGGGGUAAUGGCCUACCAAGGCGGCGACGGGUAGCCGGCCUGAGAGGGUGGACGGCCAGAAUUGGUCUGAGAUUCGGCCCAGGCUGCUACGGGAAGCAGCAGUUGGGAAUAGUGCACCACCGGAGCAAGGCUGAUGGAGCGACGCCGCGUGGGGGAUGACGGCCGUCGGGUUGUAAACUCCUUCCGCUAGGGGCGAAGCUUUUUGUGACGGUACCUAGAUAAGAAGCACCGGCUAACUACGUG